GGCGGUCUGUUGAAGUUGGAAGGACCACUUUCUAAAGAGAUGUUAGAAAACAACAAAUGCUAUUUACUGGACUGUGGGGCUGAGUUAUUUGUCUGGGUUGGUCGGUUAACGGAUGUAGAGGAACGAAAGGCUGCCUCUAAAGCUGCUGAGGAAUUUAUUGUUAAUCAAAAUAGACCAAAGGCAACACGGAUAACUCGAGUAAUUCAAAGUUUU
rnacentral:misc_RNA from 1 species